rnacentral:rRNA from 1 species
CUAAAAAAGCUUAAAGGACGCAGUAUCUUGACUGUGAUAAUGUAGCAUAAUCACUCGCCACUUAAUUCGGUGGAUAGUAUGAAUGGUUAAACGAAUAUUACACUCGUCUCUAAAAGAAAUCCCAUGAAAUUAAAAUAAUAGUAAAGAUGCUAUUUAAAGCUAUAAGACGAAAAGACCCUAUAGAGCUUAACUACAUUAUGUGUUUUAAAAAAUUAAAUAUAAACUUAAAAAAAUACACAUCUUGGUAGUUUAGUUGGGGCGACUGUCUUUUAAAAUAAACAAAGACAAGCAAUGUUAAUAAUAAACUUAUUGUAUAAUAUAUAAAUUUAACAAUUAUAAAAAUAGGCUAUAAUGACCCAUUAGAUUUUAAUAACAAAACUAAUGAUUAAUAAAUAAAAGCUACCUUAGGGAUAACAGGAUAAUUUUGUUUUAGAGAUCUAAUCGAAGACAAAGUUUGUCACCUCUAUGUUGAAUUAAGAUAUCCUGAUAGUGCAGAAGCUAUCAAAGGUAGGUCUGUUCGACCUAUAAAAUCUUACAUG